rnacentral:rRNA from 1 species
GAUGAACGCUGGCGGCGUGCCUAAUACAUGCAAGUCGAGCGAACGGACGAGAAGCUUGCUUCUCUGAUGUUAGCGGCGGACGGGCGAGUAACACGUGGAUAACCUACCUAUAAGACUGGGAUACUUCGGGAAACCGGAGCUAAUACCGGAUAAUAUUUUGAACCGCAUGGUUCAAAAGUGAAAGACGGUCUUGCUGUCACGUAUAGAUGGAUCCGCGCUGCAUUAGCUAGUUGGUAAGGUAACGGCUUACCAAGGCAACGAUGCAUAGCCGACCUGAGAGGGUGAUCGGCCACACUGGAACUGAGACACGGUCCAGACUCCUACGGGAGGCAGCAGUAGGGAAUCUUCCGCAAUGGGCGAAAGCCUGACGGAGCAACGCCGCGUGAGUGAUGAAGGUCUUCGGAUCGUAAAACUCUGUUAUUAGGGAAGAACAUAUGUGUAAGUAACUGUGCACAUCUUGACGGUACCUAAUCAGAAAGCCACGGCUAACUACGUG